UCUCUGGUGGCUCAGUCAGUAAAGAAUCUGCCUGCAAUGCAGGAGACCUGGGUUCAAUCCCUGGUUUGGGAA
rnacentral:tRNA from 1 species